CCUACGGGAGGCAGCAGUAGGGAAUCUUUCACAAUGGGCGAAAGCCUGAUGGAGCAACGCCGCGUGCAGGAUGAAGGCCUUCGGGUUGUAAACUGCUUUUAUAAGCGAGAAAUAUGAUGGUAACUUAUGAAUAAGGAUCGGCUAACUACGUGCCAGCAGCCGCGGUCAUACGUAGGAUCCGAGCAUUAUCCGGAGUGACUGGGUGUAAAGAGUUGCGUAGGUGGCAUAAUAAGUAGCUAGUGAAAUCUGGUGGCUCAACCAUUCAGACUAUUAGCUAAACUGUUAAGCUCGAGACCGUUAGGGGUAACUGGAAUUUCUAGUGUAGGAGUGAAAUGCGUAGAUAUUAGAAGGAACACCAAUAGCGUAGGCAGGUUACUGGGACGGUUCUGACACUAAGGCACGAAAGCGUAGGGAGCAAACGGGAUUAGAUACCCGGGUAGUC
rnacentral:rRNA from 1 species